UACGAGGGGGGCAAGCGUUGUUCGGAUUUAUUGGGCGUAAAGGGUGCGUAGGCGGUUUGGCAAGUCUUUGUGUGAAAUCUUUGGGCUCAACCCAAAGCCUGCAUAAGAAACUGCCGGGCUUGAGUAUGGGAGAGGUGAGUGGAAUUUCCGGUGUAGCGGUGAAAUGCGUAGAUAUCGGAAGGAACACCUGUGGCGAAAGCGGCUCACUGGACCAUUACUGACGCUGAGGCACGGAAAGCGUGGGGAGCAAACAGG
rnacentral:rRNA from 1 species